rnacentral:lncRNA from 1 species
CCGCGAGGUUUCCCAUGCUCAUAACGGUUCGAUUGUCAUCGGAGCAGAGACCAAGAAAACAAACAACACAACCAGAGAAACCAGCUUGCCAUGAAGACACUCCUGCAAACAUCAACCGGACAAAUCCCAUCAAAGAAGCUCAUCCAUCCGUUGCCUCCCAAAACUGUAAACUCCGGAUCACACCCAAGGUAUGCACCGAGCUUAAGGCCAAGAUCAGCCACCAGAACCCAACACAAGCCAGAGCCUCGGAAGCCAG